UACGUAGGGACCAAGCGUUGUUCGGAUUUACUGGGCGUAAAGGGCGCGUAGGCGGCAAUUCAAGUCAAUUGUGAAAUCUCCGGGCUUAACUCGGAAAGGUCAACUGAUACUGCGGGGCUAGAGUGCGGAAGGGGCAACUGGAAUUCUCGGUGUAGCGGUGAAAUGCGUAGAUAUCGAGAGGAACACCUGCGGCGAAGGCGGCAUCCUGGACCAACACUGACGCUGAGGCGCGAAAGCUAGGGGAGCAAACGGG
rnacentral:rRNA from 1 species